rnacentral:tRNA from 1 species
GCGGACGUGGCGAAAUUGGUAGACGCGCAACGUUGAGGUCGUUGUGGGAGAAGUCCCCUGGAAGUUCGAGUCUUCUCGUCCGCACCA